AUUGAACGCUGGCGGCAGGCCUAACACAUGCAAGUCGAGCGGAUGAAGGGAGCUUGCUCCUGGAUUCAGCGGCGGACGGGUGAGUAAUGCCUAGGAAUCUGCCUGGUAGUGGGGGAUAACGUCCGGAAACGGGCGCUAAUACCGCAUACGUCCUGAGGGAGAAAGUGGGGGAUCUUCGGACCUCACGCUAUCAGAUGAGCCUAGGUCGGAUUAGCUAGUUGGUGGGGUAAAGGCCUAACAAGGCGACGAUCCGUAACUGGUCUGAGAGGAUGAUCAGUCACACUGGCAGUGAGACACGGUCCAGACUCCUACGGGAGGAAGCAGUGGGGAAUAUUGGACAAGGGGGGAAAGGCUGAUACAGCAAUGCCGCGUGUGUGAAGAAGGUCUUCGGAUUGUAAAGCAAUUUAAGUUGGGAGGAAGGGCAGUAAGUUAAUACCUUGCUGUUUUGACGUUACCAACAGAAUAAGCACCGGCUAACUUCGUG
rnacentral:rRNA from 1 species